rnacentral:rRNA from 1 species
UACGUAGGUGGCAAGCGUUGUCCGGAUUUACUGGGCGUAAAGGGCGUGCAGGCGGUUUGUUUAGUCUAGGGUGAAAGCUCCCGGCUUAACUGGGAGAGGUCCUUGGAUACUGGCAAACUUGAGGGAGGCAGAGGAAAGUGGAAUUCCCGGUGUAGUGGUGAUAUGCGUAGAUAUCGGGAGGAACACCAGUGGCGAAGGCGGCUUUCUGGGCCUUACCUGACGCUGAGACGCGAAAGCGUGGGGAGUGAAC